rnacentral:rRNA from 1 species
GAUGAACGCUAGCUACAGGCUUAACACAUGCAAGUCGAGGGGCAGCAUGACGGAAGCUUGCUUCCGUUGAUGGCGACCGGCGCACGGGUGAGUAACGCGUAUCCAACCUGCCCUUGUCCAUCGGAUAACCCGUCGAAAGGCGGACUAACACGAUACGCAGUUCACCGCCGGCAUCCAACGUGAACGAAAUGUGAAGGAGAAGGAUGGGGAUGCGUCUGAUUAGCUUGUUGGCGGGGUAACGGCCCACCAAGGCGACGAUCAGUAGGGGUUCUGAGAGGAAGGUCCCCCACAUUGGAACUGAGACACGGUCCAAACUCCUACGGGAGGCAGCAGUGAGGAAUAUUGGUCAAUGGGCGAGAGCCUGAACCAGCCAAGUAGCGUGCAGGAUGACGGCCCUAUGGGUUGUAAACUGCUUUUAUAUGGGGAUAAAGUGAGCCACGUGUGGCUUAUUGCAGGUACCGUAUGAAUAAGGACCGGCUAAUUCCGUGCCAGCCGCCGCCGUAA